ACGGCCGCGGUAUCUUGACCGUGCAAAGGUAGCAUAAUCAAUUGUUUUAUAAUUGAAGACUGGAAUGAAUGGUUGAAUGAAAUGUUAGCUGUCUUAUUUAUAUUUGUUAGAAUUUAGCUUUUAGAUGAAGAGAUUUAGAUAUAAUUGAUAGACAAGAAGACCCUGUUGAGCUUAAAAAUAUUUUAAAGGGNNNUUUUNNUUUUNAAAAAAAAAAAAUUUUAAANUUUUUUUUGNUNGGGGNGACNNAGGANNANUAAAANNUNCNUUUANCUAAGUAAAUUGUUUGAUUUUGAUCCAAUAUAUUGAUUAAAAAAAAUAGUUACCACAGGGAUAACAGCAUAAUCUUCUUUGAGAGUUCAUAUCGAAAAGAGGGGUUGUGACCUCGAUGUUGGACUAAAAUAUCCUAUAAAUGUAGCUGUUUAUGAUGGUUG
rnacentral:rRNA from 1 species